UUUUUUUUUUUUUGUCUGAGACAGUGCCUCACUAUGCAGUGUAGGCUGGCCAUGCACUCAUUAUGUAGCCCAGGUGUGGGCUGCCAGGCCUGGCCAGGCCAGCAUUUCACUGUCUGCACUCUGACAGGAUUUAGCCCAGAUGACGGGUGUUGUUGGUGAUAUAGAUCGAGGAAGGCAGGAAGCGGAGAGAGACUGCUGAGGUGCUGCGGAGGGCCAGCACCCCUGCCUCCAGCUGGCCCUCUCCGCCCAGGGUGGCAGGACAGGCUGUAAGGAUAAUCCCUUUGUCCACACCACUCCCCUCCACCCAAUCGGCUGGCUGCCCAUUCCCUCUGCCAGCCACUGUUCCCUGUCAGCUGCCAAGCUGGGCCACAGUCCAGGACAUUGUGUGCAGAGAGAGGUCCUAGUGCCCCCCUCCAGCAUGGCACUGACCUGCCCCGCACCUGGGCUGUGAGCCAAGCUUGUCUGUCCCCAGCGCUGGCUUUGACUAGAGUCCAGAGCUGCCCUUGCAGAGGCUGGGCUAAUUAAUGUCCACCUUCCAGCCUUGCUUGACUCCGUGGGGAUCCAAGUCCAUGGGUCAGGCUUCCAGGUGCCUCUUGGGGGCAGCCUGCCAGGCUCCUGAGACACCUCCUUUUCGGCCCUUGGCGGAUCCACAGUGAGAGCCAGCUGGGUGGACCUGCGCCUGGGAGCUGGGCGUGGCCUUGCUCCCGUGCAUCACAGAUGGAAAGCCAAGCUGCACGGAGAGGGGAGCUCCCACAGUCACACAGCUGGGGCAGAGGCUCCUCGGUGCCAAUAAGAGGGGCUGCGGGCCAGGGGAGGUGGGGCAACCUAAUGGGGAAGGGGUGUAGCUCCUCUCCUGUCCAAGGCUUCGUUUAACUGCCACCUCCCAGAGAAGCCCUCCCUGGCUCCCGGCCCUGCUUUCUAGAGGAAGGGGCUCUGACGCAGCCCUCUGCUGCUUCACCUCAGGUGUCCCCAAGGCCAUCAUGUCCACAUGGGCUGUCUCCUUCCUCCACUCUUCCUCCCUUCUCUUCUUUAUUUUGCAUUACUGGGGAAGGGACCCAGGACCCAGCACUCUGUCAAUGAGCUACAUCCCUGGCUGGUUUUAUUUUUUAUUUUGAGACAAGGUCUGGGUGAGUGACUCUGGCUGGGCUCAAACUAUGAAUUAUCAACCCUUCCUGCCUCAGCCACCAGGUAGCUGGGUUACAUGCUUGCUCCAUGGUGCCAGUCCAGUGACAGUUCUUCAUACACAAGUUCUAAAAUGCAUGGUCUGGAAUAUUUUCUCUGUCUAUGUUUAUCCUUUCAUUCUUUUAACAGUGCCUCCCUAGGACAAGUUCUUCAUUUUGCUGACAUCAAUCUCUCCAUUUUUCUCUUGUGGAUCGUGGCUUCAGAGGAUGUCUAUGAAAUCUUUGCCUCAGCAAGACCACAGAACUCUCUUCAGCUUUCUUGGAAAGUGAGGAUAGAGUCCAGGACCUCGGCGUGCAGUGGGACAAACACUACUGCCAACUGUGUCCUGGCCCCUGGGCUCCAUGUUGAAUGCUGAGCGUGCAAUGCGGAAGGAAGGCAAUGAGGGCAGAGCUGCAAGAGGACCCGGAAGUCUCGGCACCUGUCAGGCCUUUUCCCUGGAGCAGGCCUGGACUUCUUGGCCUGCCCUAGACCUGCAGCAGUUUUUUUUGUUUUGUUUUUUUGUUUUGUUUUAAACAGGGUCUCGCUGUGCAAUUCAGGCUGGCCUUAAGUGCACUUUGUAGCCCAGGCUGGUCUCAAGCUCACAAUGAUCCUCCUGCCUCAGCCUCCGCAGUGCUGGGAUUACAGGAGUGAGCCAUCACACCAGGAAACCUAUAGGAGUUUGAUGAGGUUCUUUCCUGAGGGCCUCCGGCAGGGUCAGCCUGUCUGUCAUUUUAAUGCCCUCCUCCCUGGCAAAGGUACCACUGAGCAGGGUCCUCCUGGCGCUCCUUCCCAGGGCAGGAGCAGAAGAGGUGCUGGCCAGGGGAGCAGCACACAUGGCCUCGCUGGACAGCCCCGCUGUCCUUUUCCUCUGGUACCCAGGGACAGAUGUGGAGAGAGCUUCAAGGUCACACAAUGAAUUAGCCUCCAUGACCUGGCACCCACUUCUCUUGCUGGCAGUGAAAUUCUCCAGGUGAACAACAGGGCCUGGGGACUUCCGGUCUGGGUGCAGGAUAUACUGGCCAGUCUGGCUGGGGACUUCCGGUCUGGGUGCAGGAUAUACUGGGCCAGUCUGGCUGGCAGGCCCAGGGAGAGGAGGGUGGGUUCCCCUCCACCCUGGGCUCCUUCAUGGGGAGACAGUGAGACCCUGGGUUUAGAAACACUGAUUCCCACUGCAGAGUUUGCCUCUCCUUCUCCAGGCAGAAACUCCCAGAGAUUUUGGGGACACAUGUAGAGGGGUCUGCCUCCUCCCGAGGUGGGAGGCUGGUCCCUGGAGAUGAGAGCUGUGGAGCUCCUGGCAGGCAGAUGCCAGGGAGAAGCAGUAAAGGCUCUGCCCGCCUGGAUUUCCUUUUCCGCCCUACCUGGCCCUGGUGCUGGUAAGCUUGGGGUUUGGCCUGUUUAUUGAAGCCAGGAAGCUGCUGGGCUAGGCUGGCUGCUGGCACUGGGGCUGGACAAUAAUGACCAGGAUGAUAAAAAUGCUGCUUAUAGCAGGGCAUAGUGGCCAUGCUGUAAUCCCAGCACUUGGGAGGCUGAGGCAGGAGGAUGAUUGCAAGUUGGGGACCAGCCUGGGCUACAAAAUGAGCUCAAGGCCAGCCUGAACCACAUAGGGAGCCCUGUCUCAGUCGAAGAAAAAAAAAAAAAAAAGGGAAGGAAAUACCACUUGCCAUUGUUUGUUUACACCAGACAACUUGUGCACUCAGCAUUUCCCACUCAUUUUAUUUUUGCCAGGAGGUGUAAUUUAUUAGCCCCGUUUACGAAGUGUGGGAACUUGGGUCCCAAAGGCAGUGAGGUGACUUGCUCAAGGUCCCCCAGCUGGGAAGUGGCAGGGGUGGGAUUGGGGGUUAUGCUUUUUUUGUUCUUUUUCUUUUGCUUGAGAAAAAUAAAGGAGGAGGGCUGCUUUGCUAUGCAGUUUAGGCAGGCCUUGAACUCAGGUAAUGGUCUUGCCUCAACCUCCCGCAUGCUGAGAUGACAGGCGUGCACCACCACACCUGGCCCUGGAUGCUGUGAUUCUAGCAAGAGGACCAUCUCUCUUCAGUGGACCCCAGGUUCCCUGAGGAGGGACACUGCCUUGCUUUUCUCCUCGCAUUCUCUCCACCUCCAGGAAGCUCAGAUCUGGGGGUACCCAGGUCCCUGGUGCAGAGCUAUCCUGAAAUUGCUUUCCUACCUGUGUUCCCAGGGCAGCUCAAUGUACAGGAGAGGUUUGUCAAGAACAUAAACGAGUGGCUGGGGAUUUAGCUCAAUGGCACAAGCACCUGCCUGGCAAGUGUAAGGUUUUGAGUUUGAUUUCCAGUACCAAGAAAAAAAGGAACUUAAAUGAGUAGGGUGCCAUGGUGCUUACUGGUUUCUCAGCACCUGGGAGGCUGAGGCAGGAGGAUCACAGUUUGUGGCCAGCAUGGGCUGUCAAGUGAGUUCAAGAUCAGCUUGGUCUACAUACAGAGACCCUGCCUCACCUUAUACCCCAAAGAAGAUAAGCGAGGAUUUUUGGGAAAUGGGACAGAAAGAGGUGCUGCUGCCGGGAACUCUGAGCCUACCAGAAAACUGUAUCUUCCCCUCCAGCAGGGCAGAGGCCACAGGCACCCCCUCGCCCCUUGGAGCUUUUUGCUGUGCCUCUUCAGAGUUGGAUAUACCUGGAGAAGGACGGAGGCUGAAUGUAGAAGUGAAUCAGCUGUGUGGAGGACAAGCAUCACCCCGGCCCUUCACAUCUGUGUGACAGCACAUGGCAGCAGGUGACGAUGACAGUGCUCAGCACAUGACUCCAGUCACGCUUGUGAGAAGCAGGUGAGGUGUCACCCCACCCUGGCUGUGGGGCACAGACACGGAGCAGGCUGGGCCACUUGCUGUUGAGGAGGAAGGCGAGACUCCAAGUGGCCUUGUGUCCUGGCCAAGGCUCUGGGGACUGUCCAGAGGUUGACACCGGGCUCAAAGGCUCCUAACUCUCACAUUGGGCCUUUUGUUGCCCCUCGAGCCCUGGGUCUCACCUGUCCCAGGUCGGAGGAGUUGCUCCCCCAGGGCCGUGAGCGCAGCUGUGUCAAGUUUAACACAAGGUGACUGAUAGUGGGCACUUGUUCUCUGACACUACUGCAGGCCACGGAUUGGGGAAACGGUGCCAGACACUGGUUAGACCCCCAGCCCAGUGUGCACUGUUUCUGGGCUUAGGCAGCCAGUCUAACUCGGGCCCAUCUCUCGGCUUCCAGACGGAGGCAACUCUAUAUUCUGGUGGUUAAACCCCAAAGGUUAACAUAAGAUUCACAAACACCUGCAAGUACCCUGGGCCCAGCUCAGCCAGCGCCUUGGGUGGCUCAGAUGGCAAGGGAGGCAGUGGCUGAGAGAUCCAGGAAAUCGGCCCCUUAAGGAACCUAGCUCGAAAGUGCAAAGGACAGGGUGUGGCGCUGAAAGGCUACAGGGUCAAUUCUGUCCACCCCAGACUUGGUCACUGUGAGCAUUGCUAAUCAUCCCCUGGCAGACAGGGACUGGGCUGCCUGUCUUCUCUAUCCUGAAGGGGACCCCAGAAUCACAACAAACUAGGAACAAGCAGAGGGUUAUUAUAUAUUCAUGCUUUUAAUACAAACUUAAAAAAAUCUGGAACAAUAUAAACUGUACAGAUUUGAUCAAUCUUUUUUGUUGUUUUUAAACUAAAUCUCUAAACACACCAAUGUUCCAUUCCAAAAUAUUGCACAACAUUCUGAAUACAAAAUGCUUGAUUGUAUUCCUCCUUCACUAAAGAAAAAAAAGGUUAUUACCCUGCUCCCCUGGCCCCUCUCCACGCUUGCCUCAAUGUCCCCUUCCCGUCCCUAGGGAAAAAACUAGAGAUUCUAGAGUCACUGCAUUGAGAAAAAGACACCAUUCUGGACUGACAGUGUACAUUCUUUACAAGAUAACCCACCUUCGACUUGUUCCUGGGAAAGAGGGAUAGACAGGAUGGGGAAAGGGGAGAAAAAGGCUUUAUUCUCCUCUUUUUUUAUUUUAAAGUUUGUUUUUUCCUGAAAAAAUAUUGGUUUCUCUCCUCUUUUUAAGAAAAAACUCUUGAAAAGAAAAAAAUUACGUUUCUUACGUUAGAAAUAUACAUAUAUUAUAUAUACCUCUUACAUUUUACAAAUGUAGCAAA